rnacentral:rRNA from 1 species
ACGGAAGGCAGCAGUGGGGAAUUUUGGACAAUGGGGGGAACCCUGAUCCAGCGACGCCGCGUGGAGGAUGAAGGUUUUAGGAUUGUAAACUCCUUUUGGAGGGGAAGAAGAAAGUGACGGUACCCUCAGAAAAAGCCACGGCUAACUUCGUGCCAGCAGCCGCGGUAAUACGAAGGUGGCGAGCGUUACUCGGAAUUACUAGGCGUAAAGCGUAUGUAGGUGGUUGGAUAAGUCUGUGGUGAAAUUUCCUGGCUUAACUGGGAAGGGAACAUAGAAACUGUCCGGCUUGAGUAUGUGAGGGGGAGACGGAAUUCCUGGUGUAGCGGUGAAAUGCGUAGAUAUCAGGAGGAACACCGAUGGCGAAAGCAGUUUCCUGGCACAAGACUGACACUGAGGUACGAAAGCUAGGGUAGCAAACAGGAUUAGAUACCCUGGUA